rnacentral:lncRNA from 1 species
UCCACUUCCAAGACUAUAGUGCAUCUACUGUGUGUAUGACCAACAAUAGUACCAUGAACACAACAGAAGCAGGUGAGCGAUAAACAGACCAUAAUGCAGCAGCCUAAUAACCACAGCAGCCGGACUCCUAAGGACAAGAGUCUGGAGACUGUGGAGGCUACCCACUCAGCACCCUGGAAUAAACCACAACUCAGCAACAGCAAGGUGGGUUCGGUUUCCAACCAGUAAACAACUAGCCAUACCAUGUUUAUGCCAGGGACCUUGUCCCAAGACUGUUGAAUCACC